rnacentral:tRNA from 1 species
GCCGUGAUCGUAUAGUGGUUAGUACACUGCGUUAUGUCCGCAGUAACCCAGGUUCGAUUCCUGGUCACGGCA